rnacentral:rRNA from 1 species
GACGAACGCUGGCGGCGUGCUUAACACAUGCAAGUCGAACGGUGAAAGCGGAGCUUGCUCCGCUGGAUCAGUGGCGAACGGGUAAGUAACACGUGGGCAACCUGCCCUUCACUUCGGGAUAACUCCGGGAAACCGGGGCUAAUACCGGAUAUGACCUCUGCGGGCAUCCGCGGAGGUGGAAAGUUUUUCGGUGAAGGAUGGGCCCGCGGCCUAUCAGCUUGUUGGUGAGGUAGUGGCUCACCAAGGCGACGACGGGUAGCCGGCCUGAGGGGGCGAGCGGCCACACUGGGACUGAGACACGGCCCAGAGUCCGACGGGAGGCAGCAGUGGGGACUAUUGCGCAAUGGGCGAAAGCCUGACGCCGCAACGCCGCGUGCGGGAUGACGGCCUUCGGGUUGUAAACCGCUUUCAGCAGGGAAGAAGCCGCAAGGUGACGGUACCUGCAGAAGGAGCACCGGCUAACUACGUGCCAGCCGCCGCGGUAA